rnacentral:misc_RNA from 1 species
UAAAUGAAACAUGAACUGAGGGAACAAUGAAAAAGAGGGAUUCAGAGUGAAUGAGCUGGGUUCAUCCUUCCGAUAAUCACCAAACUUGGAGCACAGACGAAUGAGAUUACGAUCUAGCCACCUUGUGGCAUCAAAAUCUUCCUCCAUCUCCAUUUUGUAAGAAGCUAAUCUAGCCACUACAACUGCAGCAGUCUCUUGAUCAAAUCCUUGCACCAAUUCCUCAUUACUAACAGCAGCAUCAACCCAUCUUCUAGUAACGGUGGUGACUCGUAGUUUUGUUUGGCCAUCAGGGCUCUGGUAACUCGUGAGAAACUGUAUGUACAAUUGUGGAUUUACAUUGCCUGAAGGGUCUGAUUUUUCGCUAGAUGAAACAUCAAAGAAAACAGUUAAGCAAGUGUUUUUGUCGAGACCACACAGCUUCCAAGCUGUAGUAUUCCCCUCACCGGUGACCGUGCUGGAAACAGCAGGUCCUUUCUUAUCUAAAGAUGUGCAUGGUCCAAUUAUCCCUUGAAUUUUAAUAUCCUUGGAGCAGUUGAUCUCUAAUGUACCAUUGAAGGACAGCCCAAGAGACUGUUCACCAUCUUCAAAGAUUUGCUUGAAAGAAUCUUUGAAAACAGAAUGACCAAAGCUUUCAGCUAGAACAACUAAUCCUCCUGUUUUUUCAAUAGAAACUUUCAUCUCAGCAACCCCAACCUGAUCAAGUGCUGAAGCAAACACAUCCAAGACGUGACCUUGACUAACAAGCUGUUUUGCGAGUUCCUCAUAGAAAUGGACAGCCUUCUUGAAAAAAGGUGCUGCAUCCUUGUGAAGAUCCUUAUGAGAACGAACUGGUUCAGAUAGAUCUUUCGACACAAUCGUCCCAGGUCCCUCUGUGCAUGGACCGCCCACUAAGGCCAUGAUCCGAGCACCAGUACCAGCCACACAAGCUCCAAGCAAUCCAGCUGCUACACUCAAAGCAACACCAGUGCAACGUAAUGCUCUAUUCCCCUGUGGGACUGGCCAUUGAUCCGUGCUCAAUUCAUCUAACAAAGAAUUCAAGGUAUAUUCACACUCCGAAGCAGGCAAUAAAAAUCUAGCAACACCAAGAUUAGGAACCCCAGUUGGUCCACCACCCUUCUGCAUCCCGGGGGCACCACCGGUCCGUCUUCCACCCGCAGUACCAAGCCCCAAUUGAUCCAAAACUUGAUCUUUUGACAACUCCUUCGAUCCCCGAAAAACAUACACCUUAGACAUAUCUGCAAACCCCAACUCAUGCACCUGAACCUGCGUCCCAUAUGAUAUAAACCCCACCAUAGCAUUAUCCGGCAACAUAUCAAUCGCCCUUUUCAAGGCCGAUUUGGCAAACUCCAACUCCUCUUCCAACAUACAAGUAUCCAAAACAAACAAAUAAAUCGGUGAAACAGAAGAUUCCGGUAAAGGGUUUUGUGGGUUAGGAUUAAAACUCUGUGGGGUUUGAGAAGGAAGCGUAUAUUGAAUCGUAGUGAAUUGAGGGUAAAGCUCUCCAGGUACAUUAGUUUCAGAUAUACCGGAAUAAUGUUGAGGGAAAUGGUUACGCUGGAAACAAAAAGGGCAGAUCCAGAUUAAGGCUUGGAAAUCAACACGAGCAAAAGGGUUGAGAACAGCGGUACAUGUUUUACAUCGGAGAGGUACAUAAGGAAGUGUAGGAAGAUCAGUAUGAGGACGGAUCAGAUGGAUCGAUGAAGCAAUUGGGAUAACGCACUUGCUAGCUUCAACUUUCGUCCUAGGCCAAGCAUUCCAUGUCAUACGAACUCCAUCGAUCCCUUCAGCAUCAGGUUGUGCCAUCUCUGUCGCCAUUGAUCCAACAAAAACCGAAAAAGCUCUUCCCUUUAACGUUCUCCGGUUGAAAUUCUGGAUACCCAGAUACAGAAAAGCAAAAUUGGCGCGACCCCAAAAGGGAGAAGGAAGGGUGGGUGGGUGGGGUGGGGGGCUAUAGGGGUCACACCGAGGAAACAAUGAAGAAAUCAGUCAACACUGGGGAGGAUGGAAGAAGGACAAAACAGGGCUGAGGUG